rnacentral:rRNA from 1 species
GACGAACGCUGGCGGCGUGCUUAACACAUGCAAGUCGAACGGAAAGGCCCUGCUUUUGUGGGGUGCCCGAGUGGCGAACGGGUGAGUAACACGUGAGUAACCUGCCCUUGACUUUGGGAUAACUUCAGGAAACUGGGGCUAAUACCGGAUAGGAGCUCCUGCUGCAUGGUGGGGGUUGGAAAGUUUCGGCGGUUGGGGAUGGACUCGCGGCUUAUCAGCUUGUUGGUGGGGUAGUGGCUUACCAAGGCUUUGACGGGUAGCCGGCCUGAGAGGGUGACCGGCCACAUUGGGACUGAGAUACGGCCCAGACUCCUACGGGAGGCAGCAGUGGGGAAUAUUGCACAAUGGGCGGAAGCCUGAUGCAGCAACGCCGCGUGCGGGAUGACGGCCUUCGGGUUGUAAACCGCUUUCGCCUGUGACGAAGCGUGAGUGACGGUAAUGGGUAAAGAGGCACCGGCUAACUACGUG